CCACAGCCUAGGCUGAAUUCAGAGCCUGUAAGUAGUGCAGAGCAAGUGAAUGGCAGUGUGCCUAUCUAUUAUUUUGGCACCACCCAAAUGCAAAAGCAAAAGACAACCCCCCCACCCUGUCAAAUGAAAAACAAUACGAGAUGCAUAUCAACAACAUAAAGAAAAAUUAAUAAUGUUUGAAACGGAUGAUGGCUGUCACAGAUGCCUGCUACAGCCCUCACACAGGAAAAGGAAGUAUAUUUUCCCCACUGGCUUCAACAGUUCAAACAGAACCACAGCUCCUCCCUGUGGUCCUAUGAAUGGAUUACUUCACAGCCACACCAGAGAGUUCCUCAAAAGAAUGAUCAUAAUCCUUGUCCGGCUUUGCUCGACAGCACUGGCUGCUUGACCACAGACGGUUCCUGGGUUCCAGGCAUGAUUUUUACAUGCUCCAAAGAUGUGGCUAAACAGGGAGUGAAUCCAUUUGGAGCAAAGCUUUGCCUUGUGCCAAGCGUUAGAUAGGGAACCAUUGUUAUAUGUGCUUAGAUGUCUUGCGAUUUUUGUCUCAGUAAGUCACAUGAACCGAGCACGGAGUUCAUUUGCUGAUAUAUAGACCUUGUCAUUUUAACAGACUUACUGUUCAUUUAAAGUAAAUUAGAAUUAUAGUCCACUUCUCCGAAGGCUUAGCAUAUGACGGGACUGUGCAGUAACACUAAAACACAUACAGUAUUCAUCUUUGAUCUAUUACAUGUCGUCAUCUAACAAAGGCUAGGAGAGUUAGAGAUAUAAUAAGGCUUUGAUCACAGGAAAACUUACCCCCAUUCUGGACUAUGGAUUAUAACAUUGAUUUUUUUUUUUUUUGCUCUCUCCUUAUUUUUACAAAGGGAUAUUUUCCACAACACCACAUUCUUUUAUUGAGAUAAUUACAGCUACUGCAAUGCUUGCUUCAGUAUAUUCUCUUCUGAAAAAAAACAAAACAAAACAAAAACCCUGAUUUUUAUUUUUAAAAUAAGCAUUGCAAGUGAUUUUUUUUCCUGGCUGAGUUAUCACAAAAUAGUCAAUGAAACAGAUCAAAAUGGAAGUAGCUGUUUAUUUUCUCACCAUCAGAUAUCCUGACAGAAUAUCUUCAGGAAGGUUAUCACUCCUCAUGUUGUUGAGGAGAGGGAGGAAAUGGCCUUACAGGUACAGAAUUGUGUGUGAGUGUGUCUGUGUGUACGAGUGUCUCUAUGUGAGUGUCUGUACGUGUGUGUGUGUGUGUGUGUGUGUGUGUGAAAGAAUGUGUUUUGUACAUGUGCAGAUGGAUGCUAAAUUCAAAUACAAAUAGAAAAUGCCAGUUAGACUUAUCACUGAAAGGAUCCUGCCCAUGAUUCAAAAUGUGUUCAUUUUGUUGAACACAGCAUUUAUUCAUAUUCAUUUAUUAAAGUGUUCUCACUUUUUGUAGGAUUUGUUUCUAUGAUAUUUAUCCUUUCUAAACCCCACCCACCCAGCCAUAUAUAUGCACACUCAGACACCCCAAAUUUUUUUCUUCUCUACUUUGUAACAAUAGCCUCUGAAUGUAAAAACAAAAUAUCUCCUAAAUUGUUUUUUAAUGCUUUAAAUAAGAAACUGAAUGCAAUCAGUAUUAAAAAAACAGAUGUCCUGCCCUAAAUAUACAUGAAAAGAAAUAGCAAGCUUAUUUAAUCCAGACUUUUGUCUAUUUUCAUCUCCUGUCAAAUGUAUAUGAAAUACAAAUCUGCAGAAUUGUUAUACAUUGCAUAAACAUUUAAAUGGACAUAACACAGCAGAUGUGCAAAUGCUGAUAUUUAUGAUCUGAAUAAUGAAUCAAGAACAUGGUUUAUUUGUUUUUAACAAUACAAUGUAUCAUUUUAUCCAGACAUUUUAGCAGCCCUAAGUUCACUCUGCAUAUGUAUAUAGAACAUAAAAUCUAAAAAGUUUAAUUAUGCUUAAAGAACAAAAUGUAAUAAAAUUUGCAAAGUAAUAAUUGUGGGUUCUUCCAGAAUUGUUUUAUAAGGUGAUAAUAAUGGAUGGAAUUAAUUAACCAGUGAUGUAUUUUCAAGCAGGAUAUUCUUGUAUGUUGUUUUAAAUUCCUGUGUUCCAUAUGAAAUCAUGCAAUUUUGCUUUAUUAUUUACUAAACGAAUACAUGUAAAUAAGUUUUUACUCUUUAAAGAUAAGAAGAUGCAAAUUAGCAAAAGGAAAUUAUGUUCAGGUGGGUCCUGUGCAAAUUUAACCUUGAGUACUGUUAAUUCUAUGUCACUCCUUGAUAGAUGCUUAGAUUUUCAAAUCUCUGGUUAGCAACUUAGCUUAAGACUAAUGAUUUGGUACCAAGCAAAAUGCAUUUGACCCAACUAUUAUUAGGCAACUGCUCCUAAACCUUCAUUGCUUUCAUUACUAAUUAAUUCAGGCAGAUAUUUAACUUAAUAAGGUAAGCAAACAAAAAACUUUAAAUUUUGUAAACUGUCUCCUAAUUAGCUUUUUUGUGUGCACUCAUUAUCAAGAUUAAUUACUUAUACAAGUGUCAGGCCUUACAUUUAGAGUAGUGCACUAGAAAAACACAUGCACAAUACAUUGACCACAGCUGGUUCCUCUGUUCCAGACUUCAUUUUGAUAUGUCACAAAAAUGUGGCUAAACAGGAAGAAUCAGAAUUCUUGAGAGCUAUUUUCCUCUUUGAGAGAAUAUAGAACAGAAAAUGAAAUAAAAAACACCCAAUCCAGAAAAAAAUUAGGGAGUAUCCACACUUAAAAUAGAUCUGUUCUAGUUUAAAAAUUCGGAUAACUACCAAGCCUGUUAACAUGAUGAACAGAAUUUAUAGAUUUAUAUCCACAUUCUUUCAGAUAAUGAAUAGCUAAACUUAGCCAUAAAAAAAAUCAUAGCUAAAAAAUUAAAAAAUUAAAUUCAAAAUUAAAAAAUUCAAAAUCCAUUGCUAGGUAACACUUUAAGGCACAACAUUCUCUUGUGAUAUUUUGGCUGAACCUAAUAAAAUUAUUAGUUAAGUAAUAUUUUGAAACUUAUGUACAGAAUCCAUUUUAUAUAUAAAAAUAGAAAAAGAGAUUUAUUUAUUUUUCUCAAAUAUUUGAAGGAGGUGAAAUUCAUUUAGAGUAGAAACUAAUUCCAGACCUUUCUUGUUUUAUAAGACAAUCAGAAAUGUUGCACUGCCUGGACAUUUCUUAAUGCAGAGACUAUUAAAUGUUUGACAUUUAAUAAAUUAUUUGCUUUAAGCUAAUGUAAUAAUUGCUACUACUAUUUACAGACAAAUUUGAAGAUAAUCCUUUGAUUUUUUUAAAAAAACCUGUUCAUUCUUGUUUCCAAGAUAUCUAAUAUUAGCAACAAAUUGCCCAUAUUGUUCUUAGUAAUUUUUGAUAGCAUUGCCCUUAAAUAUGCAAAUCAGGAUUAUAUUAAUUACAUAGCAGGUAUAUGUUUGUUAAAACCAACCCAGAUACAUCAUGAUCAUAAUCUGAUCUUAAAUUCCUGACUGUGUCCUGUGUUCACUCAAAAUAUUCUCUGAAGCUGUGGAUUUUAUGAAACUUUGAAGACAGCAGUAUUAUAAUUUUGAAACCUGUCCUAUAAUAUCUAUCAUUUUUUUUCAAAGUGCUUAGUGUGCCUUCUUUGAUUUGACAUACAAAUGUUGAAGUUUGUCACUAUCAUAUCUUUAUAUUUCCACUACUUGAAAGUGCUGAUUCAGGUUUUUUUUCCUAGGUAAAAUAUAUCCUUGAAAGCCAACUGGCUUUCAAUGUGUGUCAAAAUAAUGUAUGUCUUAAUAUUUGGUUUGGCAAAUAAAAAGUAUAUGCACUUUAUAUGAAGUCUUCUGGGGUUUUUUGGCAGGGGGAAAUGGGUCA